rnacentral:misc_RNA from 1 species
UCUCCGUAGGUGAACCUGCGGAGGGAUCAUUACUGAGUGAGGGCUUCGGUCCGACCUCCAACCCUUUGUGAAUCGUACUCGUUGCUUCGGGGGCGACCCUGCCGGCACUCGGUCGCCGGGCGCCCCCGGAGGCCUUCAAACACUGCAUCUUUGCGUCGGAGUUUAAGUAAAUUAAACAAAACUUUCAACAACGGAUCUCUUGGUUCUGGCAUCGAUGAAGAACGCAGC